rnacentral:rRNA from 1 species
GACGAACGCUGGCGGCGUGCCUAAUACAUGCAAGUAGAACGCUGAAGGAGGAGCUUGCUUCUCCGGAUGAGUUGCGAACGGGUGAGUAACGCGUAGGUAACCUGCCUGGUAGCGGGGGAUAACUAUUGGAAACGAUAGCUAAUACCGCAUAACAGUAGAUGUUGCAUGACAUUUGCUUAAAAGGUGCAAUUGCAUCACUACCAGAUGGACCUGCGUUGUAUUAGCUAGUUGGUGAGGUAACGGCUCACCAAGGCGACGAUACAUAGCCGACCUGAGAGGGGGAUCGGCCACACUGGGACUGAGACACGGCCCAGACUCCUACGGGAGGCAGCAGUAGGGAAUCUUCGGCAAUGGACGGAAGUCUGACCAAGCAACGCCGCGUGAGUGAAGAAGGGUUUCGGAUCGUAAAGCUCUGUUGUAAGAGAAGAACGAGUGUGAGAGUGGAAAGUUCACACUGUGACGGUAUCUUACCAGAAAGGGACGGCUAACUACGUG